CAAAAAGCCUAUAAUUUCAUCAGAAAAUAUUAAGAAAUGUUAACAACAUGUAAGUCAGGAGAGAGAGCUAUCUUUCCAUAUGAAAGUUCUCCAUGAGGGACAGUAAGAACACUGAUCUCUUCCAGUUUCUUCUUGUAUAUGUCACACAUUGAAGCCUCAUGGGGCCCCAGGUGGCAGCAAGACUCCUGACAACAGGGUCUAUGCCGUGUGCCUGGCUUUUUCCAACCACUCCGAAUUGAUCAUUUCCUAAUGACCACAUGGCUCAGAAACUCACAGCACAUCCUUCUAGGGGCCUCUUUCUCCCAAGUCCUCCCAGGGACUUGGCAGCUUCAUCUCUAAGGCCUGCAGAGGCUGUGGCUAUGGCUGUCCAUUGUUCUCGCUCCUUGGCUUCAGUUCAGAGCCAUCAAAUCCCUGCAGCUCGCACACUGGAACAUUCAUAUUUUGGAUAAGAGCUUUCCAAGGUGAAAGUGUUGGUCACUCUUUCUUCAUCUCAGAUUUAAUCAACUAAGAAGGCUGCAAAUUGAACAUCAGUCCACAAAACUCAGGAGUACAUGAAAAGCAUUGUGCCUUAUUUUUAACUAACUCAAAUUCUAUGUCAGUCUCCCUUUUAUGCUGGAUGUUGGGGCUAAAUCUCAGUGGGUUCCUUAUUCUGCCAGACCUGUGUCCAGUUUGGGGGCUUCACGUAGAGCCACCCCAUCACAGGAGAGGGAAGCGUCUUGCUCUUGGUUGCCAUUGCUCCACCGUCUUGUCUUCCGAGCUUUGAUGUUCACCUUCCUUUUCACCACUCGGAAGCUUCCUGCCAUGAUACAUUGAGACCUCAAUGCUAAUGCUAAUUGGGGUUUGGGGUUCUCAUAAACUCAGAAGUCCAGGAAAAUCGCCUGCUGCCUCCCACAACACGCUGAGGCCAUUCUGGAAUCCUACCACUUACCCGGAGCCUGCUGGCCUCAACUGUUUUGAAGUCUGUGUCUGGGCCAUGCAGGAAACACUGAAAACACUGAAGCUACACUAUCAAAUGGAAUGCUUUCCAGACCCUACUUUUUCUACAUUGAACAACUACUAUGAAUCUGAUACAUCAUGAAUAAACCCAUCAAUUCACUGCAUUUAUGCAUGCAAUCGAUAUUUAUUGAGGGCCUUAUGAAUGUAACGAUUUUUCUGGACCUUGAGGAUGACACAAAGAUGAAACAAAUCAGACAGAUAUCCUAAAUUCAAAUAAUGCAUAGCCUUGCAGGGAGACAUUCAUUCACUCCAUGAAUAUUUAUGAGCACUUGGCAGGUGGCAGGUGUGUUCUAAAAAUGAGGAGGAAGCAGCAGAGGCCAGUGGAGUGCAGCCGUUUGGGGGUUCACGUGUCACUGGUAAGACAGACAAAGAGCAGGAUUCAUGGCAUUUUCUAGGAAGAUGACAAAACUUCAUGGAAAAGUAAAUGCUUGGGGAGGAGACAUGGGGAGGCCUUGUUGUACAGGCAGGUCAGGGAUGGUCUAGCUGAGGAGGAGGCACCAGAGCUGAGGCUGACAUAAGAGAAGGAGCCAAACAUGCAAAGAAGCAGUGGGAAAGUGCUCCAGGCACAGCAACAGCAAAUGCCAAGGCUGUGAGCUGGGCAUGAAACGGGUAUAAUUAUUACACAGUAGCUCUAAUUCAGGAAGGAGGAAGGGCCAAGUGUCUGGAAGAUGCAGAGGUUGGAAUAUGGAAGGGAACAGGCAAAGCUGGAAACAGUCUGAGCCCAUAAAGGCUGCACAUCAGCUCUGCAGCCAUCGGUGGAGCUGAAAGAGACAGGACAAAGGCUCAUAGGAAAGGCAGGACCUGUCCUGAGCUUGAACAACAGAGACGACCUUGAGAAACCUAUUUGCAAAAUACUUCAAGCAUAAAUGCCAUUUCCUACUAUAACUUUCCAUAGCAGGCUGAAUUGAAUCCCCCAAAAUAUUAUCUUCAAAUCCUAACCCCCAGUAUCUAUGAAUGUGCCUUUAUUUGGAAACAAUCUCUCUGUAGAUGUCAUCAAGUUAAGAUAACAUCAUACAGGAUUAGGGUGGGCCCUAAAUCCAAUGAUGUCCUUUUAAAAAACUGGACACAGAAACACAGAGAGGAGAAUGCCCGUCUAAAGUGGAGGCAGAGCUUGGAGGGAUAUGCCUACAAUAAGCCAAGAAACACCAAGGAUUUCUGGAGCCAGGAAAGAGGAAUGGAACAGAUUCUCCCUCAAAGCCCUCGGAAGGAACCAACCCUGCCAACUCUUGACUUCCAACUUCUGGCCUCAAGAACUGAAAUAACACAUUUCUGUGGUUUUAGUCCCCCAAGCUGUGGCAAUUGGCUUCAGCAGCCCCAGGACGCUAACAUAGCUCUGAUUCCCUUUGCAGAGCUGGGCAGGGAUUCUGCCACCUGAGGGUUUGGCAUCCAAUUCUUCUGUGAGAUAUUUACUCUUAGUGCCUUAGGUGCCAAUUAUUGUCUUUGAUUAAUUUCAGGGCCUCAAAUUGUGAACCCCUCAGUUUUUCUAACAAUGCCCCUCCUAACCCCAGUCAAGGCCAGCAGUGUUGAAGGGUUCAUUGGGAGGAGACCUGCACUGGCUGUUUGGACUAUCAGCUCCACCAGUGCCUUCUGUGGCCUGUGCUUUCUUAGCACAUUUUUAAAGAAAUAAGCUAUUGAACUUGUUGAAAUAAUAAAACAACCCAGGAAUCACCUGAUCCAAAUAAACAAACACCAAUUAACUGCCACUGUGGUGGGUGGAUUCUAGGAUGGACCAAAUGCUGCAGCCUUCUGAAAUUCACAUCCUGGAGUGAUCUCUUCACAAGUGUGGGAUGGACCUAGUGACUGGCUCCUAAUGAGCAGAAUAUGGUAGAAGGGAUAAGAUGCUGCUUCUGAGAUUGGGUCAUAAAAAGGCUGUGGCUUUUGCCUUGGGCACUCUCUCCUGGCCACAUCCUAAGGCAGCCUCACAGACAGGCUCACUUGGUCAGGAAUGGUGGCCUCCCCACAGACACAUGAAUGAGCUUGCAAACAGACCCCAGUCAGCCUUGAGGUAACUGCAGGCCCAGUAACACCUGGUUGCAGCCUGGUGAGAGACCCCAAGCUGGAACCACCUAGCUCAGCCAUACCCAGAUUCCCAGCCCAUAGAAACUACAAGAUAAUAAAUGUUUGUUGUUUUCAGCCACUAGGUUGUUGGAAUAAUCAGCUAUUCAGCAAUAGAUACCCAACGUCCUCACUGUGGGGCUGCAGAGUGCUUUGAAUACCAAAAUGUUUAUUAAAGAGGAAAAUUAUCUUGGAUGAGCAUUGAUCAGAUAAGGUCAGAUUAGGGUGCUAUACUUCAUUCAUUCAUUCAGUUAGGUACACUUCAUUCAUUCAUUCAGUUAGCCAGUCAGCCACACUCAUUCCUUUAUUCAUGCUGCUAUGUGCCAAGUAUUGUCCUGGGCACUGGAGAUAAUGAAAAUAAAAACAGCCCCUGUCCAUAAUGACAUCAUAGUCUAAUGAAGAUGACAGGGCAUAUUUAAAUAAUUGCUUUUGUGUGAUAAACGCUAACAUAUGUUCAGUCACUUUUUCAACCAACAGACAUUUUCUGAGUGCUUGCCAUUGUGCCAACCUUGUGCUAAAUGCUGGGCUUAAUACCAUGGGCAAGACUGGCCUGGGUCCUUUUCUCGUGGAGGCCAUGGUCUGCUUAGGAAGCACUUCACCCUCCAAGUACACACAGGGAAAGAAUAACUGCUCUGUCUGGUCUUAAGGGAGGGCUUCCAAAACGAAGUUCUUGAAGGAAGCCUUGAAAAAAGAACAGGAAGUACUCUUGUUCCAGUAGUUCUGGCAGAAGAAUGGGAAGGAAAUUCCAAGGAACAGAAUGUGUGUUACUUGGAAGCAUGUGACAAUGUGGUGUGUCUGUGUCUGCAGUCCAGCAAGGAGUUCGACCUCGCUGAAUACUUUGCCUCUGAUACCACAAAGAAGGGUGCUUCUGGAUGUUUACUGCAGCAAGACUUGCAACCCUGGACACUAAGCUACCACCUGAAUGUUCGUGGGUGCCUGUUGUCUACUCAGGAUCCACACCAUGGGCACCACUGUCCCCAAGGAGGGAAGGUAGAGCCCUCCCAGGGUUCUCAGCCUCAGCAUUACUGACUCACUCUGUUGAUAGCCUGUCCUGUGCAGUGUAGGAUGUUUAGCAACAUCCCUGGCCUCUGCCCACUAGAUGCCAGUAGCUCCCCCUCCCACAUUGUGACAACCAACAUUUUCCCUGGGUAUCACCAAAUGUCCCCUGGGUGGGGGCAAAAUUGCUCCCAGGUGAUAAUCACUGCUCUUUAGAACCAACAUAUUAUUAAAAGACCAGAGAAAGACAUGAUCUUAAUUCCUAAUUCUAUGUACAAAAAAGAAAAGUGAAUGUAUGUGCAUGCCCAUAGCUAUAGGAAUUGAUGGCUAAGGUCUAUGGAGCACACUCUUAUGCUCCCCAAGGUUAAAGAAUUUCCAUGAGGAGACAGUGGUGUGACAGAGACACUCAAAG
ensembl:lincRNA